rnacentral:rRNA from 1 species
CCUGGAGUGCCUUAGGAGCAAACACAGUGGUGCAUGGCUGUCGUCAGCUCGUGUCGUGAGAUGUUGGGUUAAGUCCGCAACGAGCGCAACCUCGUUCUUAGUUGCCAACAGUAAGAUGGGAACUCUAAGAAGACUGCCGGUGAUAAACCGGAGGAAGGUGGGGAUGACGUCAAGUCAGCAUGCCCCUUACGUCCUGGGCGACACACGUACUACAAUGGGUAAGACAAAGGGUAGCCAAGUCGCGAGGCCGAGCCAAUCCCAUAAACUUAUCCUCAGUUCAGAUUGCAGGCUGCAACUCGCCUGCAUGAAGGAGGAAUCGCUAGUAACCGCAGGUCAGCUAUACUGCGGUGAAUACGUUCCCGGGGCUU